rnacentral:lncRNA from 1 species
GCUUUUGAGAAGCUUCCAAGAACUGAAAAUGGUUCGGUUUCGGGUCACGAUUUAAACGGUUUUAUUGAGAAGUAUUUGAAUGGGGUUGGGAAGGAUUUGGUCUAUGCUGAACCAGUGGAUUUUGUGGCUGAGCCUAAAGGGUUCUUACCUAAAGUGAAGAAUCCUGAGGUAAGGGCUUGGGCAUUGGAGGUCCAUUCACUUUGGAAGAAUUUAAGUAGGAAAGUUUCGGGCGGGGUUAAGGAGAGACCCGAUUUUCAUACAUUGCUGCCUUUGAAGUACCCAGUUAUGAUUCCCGGGUCGCGAUUCAGGGAGGUUUAUUACUGGGAUUCUUAUUGGGUAAUAAGGUUGGUUUUCUAUCUUACGCUUUCUUGUGUUAUUUUGGUAAGUUGUUUCUUGUUCUUGUUUUGGUGAGGAAGAAUAGGUGGGAUUACGGAGCCGGGAAUUAAUGUUACGGGCGCAAAACUUUAGAAAUUUAAUGUACGAAUAAAAUUCAUAAAUAACAAAAAAAAAAUCAUAAUAUAAUAUUAUCAGUUACAGUUGUACCUGACAAUGCUUUAUAGCAUAAAAUUCAUCAAUAAUAGAAUCUAAAUCUAAAUUCAAAGAAAAUUCUCGUUCAAUGUAAAGUGUCAUACAAUCAGCAAGAAAACUAUCAUCCAUUUUGUUACGAAUUUCCGUCUUCACAUGUUUCAUUGCAGAAAAUGGUCGCUCUACGGUAGCUGUUGAAACAGGCAGUGUCAAUACUAGACGAACCAAUUUAGUCAAAUUGACGUAACUCUCCGAUCUUCUACUUGCAACCAAUUCUUGACAUAAAUUAGAAAGUGUAGAUACUUGAAAUCGAGGCUCAGAAAUCACAUCAUGCUGAUAAUGUUGCAACUCAACUUUCAAAUUAUAAAUAUCUUGCUGUGUAAAAUCUUGAGGAUAAAAUUUCUUUGCAAGCUUGCAAAUAUUAUCCAUGUUAAAUUAUUCAAAAGAAUUUUUCGGAUCCAAUGCCACACCGAGAGAAAGGAGUUCUAAUGAUGUCUCAUUAAAUCUUAUAUCUAACUCCAUCAUCAGAAAAUCAAUGGCUGCAUUGAAAAUAUCAAAGUGAUAGUGAUGUUCAACGGUAGGAUACUCACGACCACGAGAACGACCAACCAUUUCCAUGGAAAAUAAAUGUAAUCAAACACACCCAUUUUGGGAAAAUUGCAGCAGCAUCUUUCCUUUUUUUUGUAGAUUUUACCCUAAAUUUUAUUUUGUAUUAGCAAAUGCCCUAACAUUUCAUAAAUAUACACAUGAGAUCUAUCUGAAAAGAAACCAUCCAAAAUAUCGUCAGUUAAUUAGGAAAAAUCUUUGAACUAUUUGCUUCCGUGACGUUUUUAUUGAAUGUCGAUACCUUUUUGAACAGUAUUUUGGACAGUUUUAUUAUAUAUUGAUUCCUUAAUUUUUUCGAUCAUUUGACGGUGUUUUGGAUAGUUUCCGUCCAGAUGGAUUUCAAGUGCAUAUUUAUGAAAGGUUAAAAACAUCCAUUGGUAUAAAAUGAAGAUUAAGGUAAAAUUUGUAAAAAAUGAAAAGAUUAGGGAAUGCUGUUACAAUUUUCCUAGCAUUUUUCUGUUGUCGGAACCUUUACCAAACAAAAAGCAUUCAUUCAAACGCCAGCCUGGAUUUCAUCUUCACACGCAUAUACACACAGUUCAACCGUUGACAAUGUCAAAAAUAUUCGUUCAGUUAUGGCCGAACAUUCAUUUUUGCCGAUUAUAAUAGCAUAUUACUCCUUAUUUUGCUGUUCAUCCUUUGAAUCGGGAUCAACCAUCAUGAGUAAUAAUGUUGUAGAAGCACAUAGUUCAGUCCCGUGUAACUCGACAGACAGAGGACCAGUGGUACCCACAACCCCAUUAGUCAGUUUUCUUGAAACUCUUCAAGAAACGGCACUCCAAGCUUAUGGGCACAAAGGAUUCGACCCGAAACUUUACGUGGAUUUGUCACUGAAACAAAAUCUUUCGACUACUAUUGUAGCUUUUGAGAAGCUUCCAAGAACUGAAAAUGGUUCGGUUUCGGGUCACGAUUUAAACGGUUUUAUUGAGAAGUAUUUGAAUGGGGUUGGGAAGGAUUUGGUCUAUGCUGAACCAGUGGAUUUUGUGGCUGAGCCUAAAGGGUUCUUACCUAAAGUGAAGAAUCCUGAGGUAAGGGCUUGGGCAUUGGAGGUCCAUUCACUUUGGAAGAAUUUAAGUAGGAAAGUUUCGGGCGGGGUUAAGGAGAGACCCGAUUUUCAUACAUUGCUGCCUUUGAAGUACCCGGUUAUGAUUCCCGGGUCGCGAUUCAGGGAGGUUUAUUACUGGGAUUCUUAUUGGGU